rnacentral:rRNA from 1 species
CCCUUAGAUGUUCUGGGCCACACGCGUGCUACACUGAUGCAUUCAACGAGUCUAAAACCUGGUCUGAUAGGGCUGGGUAAUCUUUUGAAAGUGCAUCGUGAUUGGGAUAGAUGAUUGCAAUUCUUCAUCUUCAACGAGGAAUGCCUAGUAAACGCAAGUCAUCAGCUUGCAUUGAUUACGUCCCUGCCCUUUGUACACACCGCCCGUCGCUCCUACCGAUUGAAUGAUCCGAUGAAUACCAUGGAUUGAGAGUACGAAUAGGUUCGCUUAUUUCUGCUGCUCGAGAAGUGGAGUAAAUCUUAUCAUUUAGAGGAAGGAGAAGUCGUAACA